CCAACCUGCCAUAAGAAAGCAGAAAGCAAUGGAGUUACCCCUCAAAAUCCUAAUAAUGGGGAAGCUUUCUCCAAAUAUGGUGCCAUUUUGUUCCAGCCCAAUUAAGUCCCUUAAGGAAAGCAACCACGCCGUGAGUGUCUUCUAUAAACUCAGAGCCAGUUGCAGUGCAGAGUAUAUAAAGUGCUGGAUAAAUAUGUAAUUUACCAACAUAUUUAUAACUGACGAUUGCCUUACUUCAGACUGACAGUCUUCUCAAUCCCCUAAAUGCACAAAACUGUCUUCUCUGAAUUUAAGUUUCCUUCCUGUGCCAACUUGUUUUGUCUUUCUCUUUUAACUCCAGAUGCGACAUUUUUCAGUACACUGUGACAACUUUCGUAUGAAUAUGAAUUAAGAAUAUGUCUUCCCCCCUCAAAAAACAGAAACAAAAAAAAUCAGUCUUACCUCCA